rnacentral:rRNA from 1 species
GAUGAACGCUAGCUACAGGCUUAACACAUGCAAGUCGCGGGGCAGCAUGGGGGUUGCUUGCAAUCCCCGAUGGCGACCGGCGCACGGGUGAGUAACGCGUAUCCAACCUGCCCUUCACCACGGGAUAACCCGGCGAAAGUCGGACUAAUACCGUAUGUUGUCCAUUGACGGCAUCCGAUUUGGACGAAAGGUUUGGCUGUGAAGGAUGGGGAUGCGUCCGAUUAGCUGGACGGCGGGGUGACGGCCCACCGUGGCGACGAUCGGUAGGGGUUCUGAGAGGAAGGUCCCCCACACUGGAACUGAGACACGGUCCAGACUCCUACGGGAGGCAGCAGUGAGGAAUAUUGAGCAAUGGGCGUAAGCCUGAACCAGCCAAGUAGCGUGCAGGAUGACGGCCCUAUGGGUGGUAAACUGCUUUUAUGCGGGGAUAAAGUGGCCCACGUGUGGGUUUUUGCAGGUACCGCAUGAAUAAGGACCGGCUAAUUCCGUG